GACGAACGCUGGCGGCGUGCUUAACACAUGCCAGUCGAACGGAAAGGCCCUGCUUUUGUGGGGUGCUCGAGCGGCGAACGGGUGAGUAACACGUGAGUAACCUGCCCUUGACUUUGGGAUAACUUCAGGAAACUGGGGCUAAUACCGGAUAGGAGCUCCUGCUGCAUGGUGGGGGUUGGAAAGUUUCGGCGGUUGGGGAUGGACUCGCGGCUUAUCAGCUUGUUGGUGGGGUAGUGGCUUACCAAGGCUUUGACGGGUAGCCGGCCUGAGAGGGUGACCGGCCACAUUGGGACUGAGAUACGGCCCAGACUCCUACGGGAGGCAGCAGUGGGGAAUAUUGCACAAUGGGCGGAAGCCUGAUGCAGCAACGCCGCGUGCGGGAUGACGGCCUUCGGGUUGUAAACCGCUUUCGCCUGUGACGAAUCGUGAGUGACGGUAAUGGGUAAAGAAGCACCGGCUAACUACGUG
rnacentral:rRNA from 1 species